UGGAGCCAGUCUUCUUUGGAGCUAGUGUUUAGUUUCAUGGUACAAUAACUCAAAUUUGUAGACAAGAGUCAUUGAAGCCUGCUUGUUGCUGUAUUUGUGUAGGAAAAUUCAGCUUCCAGCAAGGACAGAGGAACUCAGGGAAGAGGACUGGAUGUCUUGAAAUGACUAGUGGAUGCUGGCCUUAUGACCAUGCCAGUUUCAGUCAUCUGGCUGAAGGAGAAGCCAUCCUUUCUCACUGCCACCCUUCAUCUUCUC